GAGAAAUACGCUUAGGGCUUGGAGAAGAGAGAAAAGAAGAAAGAAAGGGAGAAAAGCCAAGAUUUCGCCAAGAACAUCAAGCUUUUGGAGUGGAAUUCGUCUGGGGCAAUCCCUAUUAAGGUUGUGACUAUUUGAAUACUUACAAUUCAGCCCUUAUUAUUCUGACUCCGUUCUUAUAAGGGCUAAUGUGAAACUUUUAGGCACGUACCUGAGUUGAUGAGAUCCAAGAAAUGAGUAACAAUUUGUAAAAAUAUAAUAUUCCAAGAAGCUUCUUUGAGCUUAAAAAUAAAAAUUGGUUUGUAAUCUUAUUCCGAAUUCUGAUACAUAUGUUGUAAUCUUUCCGACUUUUAUGGUUUGAAUUGGAAUUUUGUUGAACUUGCUUUGUAUUGAUAUACCUUUUACAUUGAUAAAUAAAUUGUAUUCUCGAGUA